GUGCUCGCUUUGGCAGCAUGUAUACCAAAAUUAGAAUGAUAGAAGAUUAGCAUGAUGCCUGAGCUAGGGUGACUUGCAAAUUUGUGAAAUGUUACAUAUUUUU